UUCAACAGUGAUAUUCUUCAACAGUGAUAUUCUUCAACAAUGAUAUUCUUCAACAGCGAUAUUCUUCAACAAUGAUAUUCUUCAUCAGUGAUAUUCUUCAACAGCAAUAUUCUUCAUCAGUGAUAUUCUUCAACACUGAUAUUCUUCAACACUGAUAUUCUUCAACACUGAUAUUCUCUCUGGAGAUUAUGUGUUGCUGCAAUGAUUUCCCGCUCUCAUUAUUGCAAAGUCCUUAAACCUCAUUCACAGGGUUUCGUUCUUAACUGUGCACAUGUUGAGUGUCAGGUUUUUAACGAGAAUGAACCUUUAUAUUUGAGCCCCUUGUCCCUGUGUUGCUAGAUGUAUGCGGGAUGUAUGUGACUGUGCUGAGCUCAGUGAAGGAAGACUCAAGGACAGUGCAUUGGCAAUGUAAUAGUCCUGUGUUAAGGGGCAGUGGAAACACAAUCAGAACAGCUUCAGUGUUCAUAACUCAUUGUGUGACCCUGAGCAAGUAACUUAACCUCUUUGUGCUCUGUCUUUCGGGUGAGACGUUGUUGUACACAGUGCACAACACUGUGAAGGCAAUGACACUACUGCCAUCUACUGGAAGUAUACUGUAACUGCUGUGGGGUUGAGUUAUUAGGGGGAGGCAGCAUGUGAUGCCAGCCUUUCUUUUAUUGGAAGGCAAUAAAUACCCGGAAGUUUGGUCUUGUGUGGUUGGGGGGAGAGAGGAAGUGUGUAGUUUACAGUGCAGUGAGCGUGAACAGGAAGGUGGGAUUUUAUAUCUGAAAGAGGGCUUUUUUUUUUUUUUUUUUUUUUUGGCCGUUGAAAGGCGAGUGGAGUCAAGACGGCUGUUUGUAAUGCAGGGAGGUGUAUUUGGAGAGGUGGGUUGAAGAUGGAUCUCUUCCCAGUGAUCUGAAAUCUGGGGCUGCAAGAAGGGGGGUUGUGCUGUCCUGUGCUGUGAUUGAUUUAAGAAGCACGAUGGCUCUUCCACGAGGCUGCACUGGUUGAAUUCUCCUGCUUUGUUAGUCUCACUUUGAGGCUCUGCUUUUUAUUUAACAUUGGCAGAGUGGUUCAGUGUUUGCUAACUUGUUUACUGUAAGCCAAUGUGUGAAACUCAGCCCUCUUUACAGGAAGCAAUAGCUCAAGUGUUUGCAGUAAAUGGCUGGUAUUUACUUUAAGUGUUUUGUAUUCCAUUGAAUAAAAUUGAAAGGUCUUUCCA